rnacentral:rRNA from 1 species
UACGGCGCGAUUCGCCUUACUGCUCAGUAACACGUGGCUAACCUGCCCUUGGGACGAGAACAACCCCGGGAAACUGGGGCUAAUUCUCGAUAGGUGAAGAUCUCUGGAAUGAGUUUUCUCCUAAAGGGUGCUAGAGUUAUGCUCUUUAGCUUCGCCCAAGGAUGGGGCCGCGACCGAUCAGGUUGUUGGUGAGGUAAUGGCUCACCAAGCCUUUUACCGGUGCGGGCCGUGGGAGCGGGAGCCCGGAGAUGAGCACUGAGACAAGGGCCCAGGCCCUACGGGGCGCAGCAGUCGCGAAAACUUUGCAAUAAGCGAAAGCUUGACAGGGCUAUCCCGAGUGCCAUCCGCUGAGGAAGGCUUUUACCCAGUCUAGAACGCUGGGGGAAUAAGGAGAGGGCAAGUCUGGUGUCAGCCGCCGCGGUAAUACCAGCUCUCCGAGUGGUGUGGAUGUUUAUUGGGCCUAAAGCAUCCGUAGCUGGCUAGGUUAGUCCCCUGUUAAAUCCACCGAAUUAAUCGUUGGUUUGCGGGGGAUACUGCUUGGCUAGGGGACGAGAGAGGCAGACGGGUAUUUCCGGGGUAGGGGUGAAAUCCUAUAAUCCCGGUAGGACCACCAGUGGCGAAGGCUGGUCUGGUUAG